GUGCCAGCAGCCGCGGUAAUACGGAGGAUCCGAGCGUUAUCCGGAAUCAUUGGGUUUAAAGGGUCCGUAGGCGGGCCAUUAAGUCAGGGGUGAAAGUCUGCGGCUCAACCGUAGAAUUGCCCUUGAUACUGGUGGUCUUGAGUUAUGGUGAAGUAACUAGAAUAUGUAGUGUAGCGGUGAAAUGCAUAGAUAUUACAUAGAAUACCGAUUGCGAAGGCAGGUUACUAACCAUAUACUGACGCUGAUGGACGAAAGCGUGGGGGAGCGAACAGGAUUAGAUACCCUGGUAGUCCACGCCGUAAACGAUGGAUACUAGCUGUCCGGAUGCAAAUCUGGGCGGCCAAGCGAAAGUGAUAAGUAUCCCACCUGGGGAGUACGUCCGCAAGGAUGAAACUCAAAGGAAUUGACGG
rnacentral:rRNA from 1 species